UCCUCGUUUAAGCGAGGCAGUCUGUCCAGAGUGCUCCCGACUCUCGUCGGGGUGGCAACAGGACACAAGGGUUGCGCUCGUUGCGGGACUUAACCCAACAUCUCACGACACGAGCUGACGACAGCCAUGCAGCACCUGUGUCCAGGUUCCCUUUCGGGCACCCCUCCAUCUCUGGAGGGUUCCUGGCAUGUCAAGGGUAGGUAAGGUUUUUCGCGUUGCAUCGAAUUAAUCCACAUAAUCCACCGCUUGUGCGGGUCCCCGUCAAUUCCUUUGAGUUUUAACCUUGCGGCCGUACUCCCCAGGCGGGGUGCUAAACGCGUUAGCUGCGACGCUGAAGGGGUCGCUCCCCCCAGCAUCUAGCACCCAUCGUUUACGGCGUGGACUAC
rnacentral:misc_RNA from 1 species